AGCGAUGGUGCCACUCCUAUGAUCACAUUUAGCCUCGUGGAUCCCCGUGGUCCCAUUUCUUGAAUAUUAGAAUUUUCACUUGUGGAAUUUUCUAAAUUUCUAGCCAUUAUAUUUUGCUUAUACGUUUUUAUCAAAGAACCCUUGCAAAUAAAAAAUUCUAAUAAUAAGAACGUAUGAAAAAAUAUUCAAAUGGACUAGAAAAUAGAGAAAAACCUUUUUAUGCGAGAGUCUUCUAUGAGUAUGGAUCUCAACUCUCAAUGAAAGCACCAAUUUGUGGAUGCAAAUUUCUUCCUCCU
rnacentral:lncRNA from 1 species